GGGUGCGUAACGCGUAUGCAACCUGCCUCGAACAGGGGGAUAACACUGGGAAACUGGUACUAAUACCUCAUAACAUACCGGAAGGCAUCUUUCGGUGUUAAAAGCUCCGGCGGUUCGAGAUGGGCAUGCGUUGUAUUAGCUAGUUGGUACGGUAACGGCGUACCAAGGCUACGAUACAUAGGGGGACUGAGAGGUUAACCCCCCACACUGGUACUGAGACACGGACCAGACUCCUACGGGAGGCAGCAGUGAGGAAUAUUGGUCAAUGGACGCAAGUCUGAACCAGCCAUGCCGCGUGCAGGAAGACGGCUCUAUGAGUUGUAAACUGCUUUUGUAUAAGGGUAAACCCAGAUACGUGUAUCUGGCUGAAAGUACUAUACGAAUAAGGACCGGCUAACUCCGUGCCAGCAGCCGCGGUAAUACGGAGGGUCCAAGCGUUAUCCGGAUUUAUUGGGUUUAAAGGGUGCGUAGGCGGUCGAUUAAGUUAGAGGUGAAAUCCCGUGGCUCAACCACGGAACUGCCUCUGAUACUGGUUGGCUAGAAAAUGGUUGCUGUGGGCGGAAUGUGUAGUGUAGCGGUGAAAUGCUUAGAGAUUACACAGAACACCGAUUGCGAAGGCAGCUCACAAAACCAAUUUUGACGCUGAGGCACGAAAGCGUGGGGAGCAAACAGGAUUAGAUACCCUGGUAGUCCACGCCGUAAACGAUGAUAACUCGCUGCUGGCGAUACAAUGUCAGUGGCUUAGCGAAAGCGUUAAGUUAUCCACCUGGGGAGUACGUUCGCAAGAAUGAAACUCAAAGGAAUUGACGGGGGCCCGCACAAGCGGAGGAACAUGUGGUUUAAUUCGAUGAUACGCGAGGAACCUUACCCGGGCUUGAAAGUUAGCGACGAUUCUUGAAAGAGGAUUUCCCUUCGGGGCGCGAAACUAGGUGCUGCAUGGUUGUCGUCAGCUCGUGCCGUGAGGUGUCGGGUUAAGUCCCAUAACGAGCGCAACCCCUACCGUUAGUUGCCAUCAGGUCAAGCUGGGCACUCUGGCGGGACUGCCGGUGUAAGCCGAGAGGAAGGUGGGGAUGACGUCAAAUCAGCACGGCCCUUACGUCCGGGGCUACACACGUGUUACAAUGGUCGGUACAGAGGGCAGCUACCCAGUGAUGGGAUGCGAAUCUCAAAAGCCGAUCUCAGUUCGGAUUGUAGGCUGAAACCCGCCUACAUGAAGUUG
rnacentral:rRNA from 1 species